GAAGACAGCAAUCUACACACAUACACUCACACACCCCGUCCCUUUCCCUCCUCGCAGAAGCCGAGGAGAUGCCAUGUGAGGGUGCAGCGAGGAGUUGGGCUGUCUAAAAGCAAAGAAAGAGAUUGCAUCAGACACCGCAUCUGCUGACACCUUGUUCUUGGACUUCCAGCUUCCAAAACCGCGAGAAAUAAAUGUCUGUGUCUAAACCCCAACCCUACCACCUCAACUGCCGUGUGUGGUGUUUUGUGAUGGCAGCCCCAGCUGACUGAGACACCUGGUUAGACCGGAAUAAGCAGGCUGCAAUCGGUAGCAGUCACCAUUGAACAUCCUUGAAGCAAUUCUUCCAAAAUUACCUUGCAUCAAAGACUGCACAAGAACUGCUCUAAGCGGAAGGACUGAUGUCGGCAACCAGGGUUCCACCAGGGGCUGCAGACAGCCCUUGACCUUCAGGUGGGAAGGUGUCACUGAGUUCAGACCCUCUGGCAAUCCCUAGCUAUCAACAUUUUGAUAAGAAAAUAAGUGGAAAGAAGUAACCAAAUUUACUCACGUAGGCCAGGAAUUUCUAUGACGUGUUCCAAAUUCAGCCUCUCACUGAACACUUCCAGAGCAAGGCAACAUAAACAUCUGCAAGAAGAACAUUGUGUGAGAAAUAUCAAGUGAGAGUGGAAGAGUCUGCGGAGGGCCUCCCUGGGGCUCACCUGUGCUUUUGCCUGAGCUUCACCGUGUCAAGGAUGCAGCACUUUUUCCCUCUGGAGGAAGCAGCUUUCACCUUGGAAGAAUCUUGACCUUGCCAUUCAAAGUCACCAGACAGGGAAUCUGCCAGUGCCUUGAUCUUAGACUUCCCAGCUUCUGUAACUGUGAGCAAUAAAUGUAUGCUGCUUAUAAACUAUCCAGUCUCAUGCAUUUUGUUAUAGCAAUAUAAACAGAUGAAGACAGACAUAAACAUAUCUUUUUGAGAGAUGCAAUGCAACCCAUACCACCAGGAUUGCCACAUGUUUGCUGAUUUCACCUGGUAGCAAGGCUUAGCUAUCUUGGCUUGAAUGUAAUACCUCCAUCUUUUCUCUUGGUCAUCCUCUUUAAGCAGAGGACUUUUAUCUACCCAAGCAGAAUCCUGUGUUCUUGCUAUUCGAAGUGCAGCCCAGCCUCCUGCAGCCACCACAUCACUUGUGAUGCUUGACAGAAAUGCAGACUCUCUGUUCCCACCUCAAACCUACUGACUUGGGAAUCUGCAGCUUACCAAGAUCUCCAGGUGAUCCACGUACACGUCAAACUUUGAAAAGCAGUGGUUUGCAGAACAAAAAGGAUUCAGCUUCUGAUAUGGUUUGGAUUUGUGUCUGUACCCAAAUCUCAUGUCAAAUUGUAAUCCCCAGUGUUGGAGGAGGAGCCUGGUGAAAGGUAAUUGGAUCACGGGGGCAAACUUCCCCCUUGCUGUUAUCAUGAUAGUGAGUGAGUUCUCAUGAGAGCUGGUUGUUUAAAAGUUUAAAAGCACCUCCCCCUUCGCUCUCUCUUCCACCUUCUCCAGCAAUGUAAAAUGAACCUGCU
rnacentral:lncRNA from 1 species